rnacentral:rRNA from 1 species
AGAGUUUGAUCCUGGCUCAGGAUGAACGCUAGCUACAGGCUUAACACAUGCAAGUCGAGGGGCAGCAUGAACUUAGCUUGCUAAGUUUGAUGGCGACCGGCGCACGGGUGAGUAACGCGUAUCCAACCUACCCCUUAGUAGGGCAUAGCCCGUAGAAAUGCGGAUUAAUACCCUAUGUUUUCCGGAGACGGCAUCAGAACUGGAACAAAGAUUGAUCGCUAAGGGAUGGGGAUGCGUACGAUUAGGUUGUUGGCGGGGUAACGGCCCACCAAGCCUGCGAUCGUUAGGGGUUCUGAGAGGAAGGUCCCCCACACUGGUACUGAGACACGGACCAGACUCCUACGGGAGGCAGCAGUGAGGAAUAUUGGUCAAUGGGCGUGAGCCUGAACCAGCCAAGUAGCGUGCAGGACGACGGCCCUACGGGUUGUAAACUGCUUUUAUCAGGGGAUAAAGUGCGGGACGUGUCCCUCAUUGCAGGUACCUGAUGAAUAAGGACCGGCUAAUUCCGUGCCAGCAGCCGCGGUAAUACGGAAGGUCCGGGCGUUAUCCGGAUUUAUUGGGUUUAAAGGGAGCGCAGGCGGGUGCUUAAGCGUGCUGUGAAAUGUACCGGCUCAACCGGUGACGUGCAGCGCGAACUGGGUGCCUUGAGUGAGUGCGAGGUAUGCGGAAUUCGUGGUGUAGCGGUGAAAUGCUUAGAUAUCACGAAGAACCCCGAUUGCGAAGGCAGCGUACCAGUCCUUUACUGACGCUAAAGCUCGAAGGUGCGGGUAUCGAACAGGAUUAGAUACCCUGGUAGUCCGCACGGUAAACGAUGGAUGCCCGCUGUCGGCGAUAGAAUGUCGGCGGCCAAGCGAAAGCGUUAAGCAUCCCAC